rnacentral:misc_RNA from 1 species
GAUGAAGAACGUAGCGAAAUGCGAUAAGUAGUGUGAAUUGCAGAAUUCAGUGAAUCAUCGAAUCUUUGAACGCACAUUGCGCCCCUCGGUAUUCCGUGGGGCAUGCCUGUUCGAGCGUCAUUUAACCCCUCAAGCCUAGCUUGGUAUUGGGUGCUUGUCCCGCCUCUCGCGCGGCGACUCACCUCAAAGUCAUUGGCAGCCCGCAUCUCGCCGGCCGUGAGCGCAGCACAGACGCGCUCUUGGCAACGACGGAUCGGCUCUCCAAAAGCUUAUUUCAACCACUGACCUCGGAUCAGGUAGGGAUACCCGCUGAACUUAAGCAUAUCAAUAAUCGGAGGA